ACACAUCACCUUGAAGCACCAGUUCCCGUAGGAUCAUUUAAGUUAAGUAACGCCGAGCCUGGUCAGUACCUAGAUGGGUAACUACUUGUGAAUACCAGGUGCUGUAA